rnacentral:rRNA from 1 species
CCUACGGGAGGCUGCAGUGGGGAAUAUUGCACAAUGGGGGAAACCCUGAUGCAGCGACGCCGCGUGAGUGAAGAAGUAAUUCGUUACGUAAAGCUCUAUCAGCAGGGAAGAAACACUGACCUUACGGUCAGCAGACGGUACCUGAGUAAGAAGCCCCGGCUAACUACGUGCCAGCAGCCGCGGUAAUACGUAGGGGGCAAGCGUUAUCCGGAUUCACUGGGUGUAAAGGGAGCGUAGACGGCGAGACAAGUCUGGAGUGAAAGGCCGGGGCCCAACCCCGGGACUGCUCUGGAAACUGCCUGGCUGGAGUACAGGAGAGGUAAGUGGAAUUCCUAGUGUAGCGGUGAAAUGCGUAGAUAUUAGGAGGAACACCAGUGGCGAAGGCGGCUUACUGGACUGUAACUGACGUUGAGGCUCGAAAGCGUGGGGAGCAAACAGGAUUAGAUACCCCAGUAGUC